rfam:Thiomonas delicata strain DSM 16361 genome assembly, scaffold: BBA-D_THIARS_scaffold5
GGGGCCGACCAGGUUUCGACGUGAAUGACGAAGUCGUGGAGUGCAUGCCGAGCACCAGUUCGCUCGUAAAUCCACUGGAAUCAAGUUAAACGCGAACGACGAUAGUUUCGCUCUCGCAGCUUAAUUGCCGCGAGCCUUGCAACGGCACGCUGAUGGGCCGGGGUGGCAACACCUGCAAGGUCAUCCACAUCAGAUCGUGAUUCUGUGCGCCGCGCGCAAAAUCAUUAAAUCCAGCGGAUCGCCAGUUCAGAAGCAUGUCCAUCUGCGUCUGGGCGGUUAAAACCCAAUGAUGGCACUAAGCAUGUAGAGCUUGCGAUGGAGAAUUUGCGGACGGGGGUUCAAUUCCCCCCGGCUCCACCA